UACGGGGGGGGCAAGCGUUGUUCGGAAUUACUGGGCGUAAAGGGCUCGUAGGCUGCCAACUAAGUCGGAUGUGAAAUCCCCAAGCUUAACUUGGGAACUGCAUCCGAUACUGGAUGGCUUGAAUCCGGGAGAGGGAUGCAGAAUUCCAGGUGUAGCGGUGAAAUGCGUAGAUAUCUGGAGGAAUACCGGUGGCGAAGGCGGCAUCCUGGACCGGCAUUGACGCUGAGGAGCGAAAGCUAGGGGAGCAAACGGG
rnacentral:rRNA from 1 species